rnacentral:rRNA from 1 species
UCGAGCGGUAACAGGGGUAGCUUGCUACCCGCUGACGAGCGGCGGACGGGUGAGUAAUGCAUAGGAAUUUACCCGAUAGUGGGGGAUAACCUGGGGAAACCCAGGCUAAUACCGCAUACGUCCUACGGGAGAAAGGGGGCUUUGGCUCCCGCUAUCGGAUGAGCCUAUGCCGGAUUAGCUGGUUGGUGAGGUAAUGGCUCACCAAGGCGACGAUCCGUAGCUGGUCUGAGAGGAUGAUCAGCCACAUCGGGACUGAGACACGGCCCGAACUCCUACGGGAGGCAGCAGUGGGGAAUAUUGGACAAUGGGCGCAAGCCUGAUCCAGCCAUGCCGCGUGUGUGAAGAAGGCCCUCGGGUUGUAAAGCACUUUCAGCGAGGAAGAACGCCUGGCGGUUAAUACCCGCCAGGAAAGACAUCACUCGCAGAAGAAGCACCGGCUAACUCCGUGCCAGCAGCCGCGGUAAUACGGAGGGUGCAAGCGUUAAUCGGAAUUACUGGGCGUAAAGCGCGCGUAGGUGGCUUGAUAAGCCGGUUGUGAAAGCCCCGGGCUCAACCUGGGAACGGCAUCCGGAACUGUCAGGCUAGAGUGCAGGAGAGGAAGGUAGAAUUCCCGGUGUAGCGGUGAAAUGCGUAGAGAUCGGGAGGAAUACCAGUGGCGAAGGCGGCCUUCUGGACUGACACUGACACUGAGGUGCGAAAGCGUGGGUAGCAAACAGGAUUAGAUACCCUGGUAGUCCACGCCGUAAACGAUGUCGACCAGCCGUUGGGUGCC